GAGAAGAAACACAAAUGCCUUCUUUCAGGGGUGUUUGCUUCAAAUAGCGCUGAAUGCCUUGAGUGGAUCAGAGACAGAGCAGAACAUGACUAAGUCCUGAGAACUGAGUCGGGUCUGGUUUGGGGAGUCCGAGCUGGCUGCAGAGUCUGUUUGCAGGAGUGUGGCCAGACUCUGAGAAUGUCUCCCAGGCAGCAGACUUCCCGUGACGGAAGGCAGGGAUAGAUGACCUACUGGAACAUGGCAGCUAAAUGGGUAACCUCAGGCCCUUGACUGUCAGCCCCUACAACUCAGUUUUCGCCCUUGUGAAUCCUCUAACCAUGGGCCAAAAUGGUGUUUCUUUAUGUUUUGGUUUCCAACCUAGAAAAAGUAAUGUUUUUCUCAUAAGGCUGCCAUGAUGGUUAAAUGAAUUCAUACAUCACAAGCAAUUCAAAGAAUGCUGAGCACGUACAGAGUUUAAUAGGUACUAGCACUGAUGUUGAUUAUCUUUGUCAGAAAUAAAACUGUCUGUCAGCUGGUCAAAUGUAGAAUCCCAGAAAAUUAUAAAAAACAAAAGAAGUGUGUAAGUCUUGAAUUGUGGUUUGUUCCCUCGACAGCAGACAUUUUUGAAAAUUAAGAGUUCUUGCUUCUUGCAUUCUCUUAUGUUUAGAUUCAUUUUUCUAUGAACUUCAGUAAUUCAGCAAUUCAAUAAGUAGCAGCAUUUGGAAUCAUUGUGAUUCUUUAGAUAUCCAUAUUUAUCACUCUCACUUUUGAGUUAGAGGAUGGGCAUGGAAUUCAAGGUUCAAAGCACUCGUCAACACUCCAGGGGUAUGAUUUUAUGGUCUUCCAGCACCAAAAUUGCUGAUGGGAAAGUUGAUGUCAAGAUAAUUCUUUCUCCUUGUAGUUUUCAGAAUUGUCUUUGUGUUCUUAAUGAUGUUUUUGAUAUUUCCUUGCAUUAAGACUAUUUUUAAAAAUCGUUCUUAAAUUUUGUCUUGCUUAUCAGCAGAUUUUUUUUUUCCAUCUGGAAACUUGUAUCUUUGCUUCAGUUCUGGGAAACUCUCAGCCAUUGCUAUGGACUGAAUGUUUGUGUCUCCUCUCCCCCGUAUAUAUGUGAAAGCCCUAAUUUCUAAUGGGAUGGUAUUUGGAGAUGGGAUUCUGGGGAAUAGUUAGGUUAGAUUAAGUCAUGAGGGUUGAGUCUUCAUGAUAUAAUUCGUGUCCUUAGGAGGAGAUGAAGGGAUCAGAGCUUCCUCUCUCUACCGUAUGAGGACAAGAAAGUAGGCAGCCUACUGUGAACCAAGAACAGAGUGAGUCCACACCCCAAACCCAACUAGUCUGUUACCCUGAUCUCAGAUUUCUAGCCUCUAGAACUGUGAAAAAAAAAAAAGUUUGUUGUUUAAAACACC